GGGAGUUUAGCUCAGCUGGUUCAGAGCAUCUGCCUUACAAGCAGGGGGUCACUGGUUCGAAUCCAGUAACUCCCA
rnacentral:tRNA from 1 species